UGUGUUCCGAAGACAAAAAAGCUUUUACGGGUUUGGAGUAAGUAAUUAAUGUCAAAAUUUUCAUUUUGCUGUGGAGUAACCCUUUAAAAUGUUUAAUUUUAAUUAAUAAAAAAACAUAUUUUCUGUUCAUUCAUUAUUUACAUAUAGCCUGUAAUUAAUAUUGUUUCAUGACAAAUAAUCACUGUAUCCAAACUAUCAGUCAUUACCGCCAUGUCAGCCAUUUGAAAUACUUGUUUUUAUUUAAAUAUGAUGCUAAUACAAAGUGACCUAGGAGUACAUCUCUGCCAGGGCAGCAGAGAAACAGUUUGGAGUGAUCAGAAAUGUUAUUAAUUUUAAGAUAUUUUAAAUGUUAUCAAUGAAUCAAACAGACAACAAAAGGGCCAGAUCAAUGAAUGGACCAGAUGGCCAGUCAUUGUUUAACGAAUGUUCGUCUGCACAUUCAUCCAAAUUCUUUUCCAAGCUAAUAAUGAAGAUGAAUGUUUUUAUCUUUUUUUUUAUGUGCAAAUCCAUGUCCAGGACAUUGACUAACUGUCAGUGGAAUGUGGGAUUUACUGGCUGAAUUUAUGAUGUUUUCCUAAGGAUGCCUGUUUGACUAAAACUAAAACAACACAGACAUUUUUGACACACCAUACUCAGACAUUUGAAACAUUUAGUAUAAACAUUUUCAGCAUAUUUAAUUAACCAAAUCACUUCACACUAGGAAGUAAAGGUCAUCUCAGAUUUGGUUCUGAAUGCUUCCUGUUUGUUUCACCGGAAUGCCCAGAUUCCACCCAUCUCAGUUUUUUGAGAAUCCAGAAUAGCAAGGUUGCAAAACGCACAAUGUCUGAAUAGUUUGCAGAUGUGUCAGUCUGAUAUCAUUCUGAAUGGACAUACACAUGCAAAACAAGUGUAGUUACUUGAAUCCUACAGACAGUAUGUCAAUAGAAGCUUGUAUGUUGUGCUUAUUCAACACUCUCUCUAUGGCGGCAGCUGAAGCAUGUGAAAAGGGAAGUGGAAUUAUCUCGGAGGCGCAGCCUGAGGCUCAAGGCUCAGGUGGAUAAACUGGAACAGCAGAAUGAUAGCGGACCCGGCUGGAGUGAAAACAGACAACGGGUGGCAGAGGAGAUUCAGUCUGUUGUAAAGCUGCUACUCCCUCUGACAGACUUAGAGUCAACAGAAGCUGAUCAGCCAUCCCGGGCUAACCCUUUAGAUAAGACACUGCUUCAACUGCAGAAAGUGGCCCGGAGUCUCGCCAUUAACACCUCUCAGGUGAGCUUUAGCCACGCCCAUCAACUCAUAUGGGACACGCCUCCUUUUUUGAAUUUCCUCAUCUCUCCAUUCUAUUGUAAGGCCUUGCGUAACCAUUUCAUGCUCCUAUUAUUCUUAGAAGUUAUUUUUAAGUGCCCAUAUUAUGCUCAUUUACAUGUUCAUAAUUUCAUUUUUGAGGUCUGCUAGAAUAUAACGCCAUGAAAUUAAGUUCAAAAACAUGAUAUUUUUCUCACUAUACAUCUCUUUGCCUUAAACACUUUGUUUAAGUCCAAGUCUCUUUUAUUUCUUAAAGCCCACCUUUCCAAGAGCCCAGUUUGCUUUAUUGGUCAGCUGGCUUAGUCUGUUGUUUAUUGGUCAAAAGCUUAUUUAAUAGCAGAACUACAAACAGUCAUUUUAGAACAUUUUUUAUUUAUUUUUUUCUGUUGGUGAUAUUAACUCCCACUGUUGUGGACUUUGUAAUUUUACUGAUCGUUUACACGCAAAAACUACUAUAUUACACAUUAUAGGUAUAAUAAAAAAAAGGCAUAAUAGGUGCCUUUAAAACA
ensembl:lncRNA